rnacentral:misc_RNA from 1 species
CGAACAGUGCGGAAAUUAUGUAAAUGUACUUUUUUUUUUAAAAUGAUUUUGGUGUAGCUUGAAGUUCAAACAUUUUGCUGCUUUUUUCUUUUUGGAAAUGGAUUAUUAUAAUAAAUUUGGAUCUGAGAUGGAUAAAGAGGUUAGGGGCCAUGCGGGUAUAAUAUUAGCUUUAUUGUUCUUUUAAGUUUUAUUUACUCAAUUGAUGAACUAGUCAGUUUAGCGUGAUUCUUUAGCUAAGCACGUUCUUAGUAUUUAGGCCAUUAAUUAAUUAAUAUAUAUGAAUCUCUGACUCUGUUAUAUUACUUGUUUUGGUGGUGAAUGUUUAUGUAUAUAUCAGAUACAAUUUGUACCUUCAACUCAUUCUGUCUUUGCGAUCUGGAUUUGCUCCAAUUGCGCUAUUUAGAAUACAGGUUUGCUGGAAAUGGCAAAAGGUAGCAGAGGACGAUGCAGGAUUGCUUCCCGGCAAUGCAGGCCAGCGCCAUACAAAUUGGCAUCUUGCAAUCAUGAUGAGGACUUUUACAAUAAGAAAUCCUCCAAAUCGUUGGAUAAGAAAGACUGGGAAGAUGUAACUUGUUCUGUGUGCAUGGAGUGCCCACACAAUGCUGUUCUUCUACUUUGUUCCUCUCAUGACAAGGGUUGUCGUCCCUAUAUGUGUGCAACUAGCUUUCGUUAUUCUAAUUGCCUUGACCAGUACAGAAAGGCUUACACUAAAGUAAUCUCUUCCAGUGGCACUGCUGAUAACCCAAUUCUGCUUUCAGAUUCCAGUUGGCCUGUUGACAAGUGUGAAGUCACAGAGCUUGCUUGCCCCCUUUGCAGGGGCCAGGUGAAAGGGUGGACUGUGGUGGAACCUGCACGAGAAUAUCUAAAUGCCAAAAGGAGAAGCUGCAUGCAGGAUGACUGCUCAUUUGUUGGAACUUACAAGGAGCUAAGGAAGCACAUGAGGACAGCUCACCCCUCUGCGCGGCCUCGUGAAGUUGAUCCAAUUCUUGAGCAGAAAUGGAGAAGGCUUGAGAGGGACCGUGAACAUGAUGAUGUAAUUAGUACAAUAAGGUCCACAAUGCCUGGGGCAAUGGUUUUUGGGGAUUAUGUAAUAGAGGGAAAUAAUUAUGGUUUUGAUAUAGAUGAAGAAAAUGGGCAUUUUGAUGCAGAUGCUGCAGAGAGUAAUGGAGGUUUUGAGGUGGGUUUUGAUCGAAACUUGGUGAAUGUCUUCCUUCUGUUGCAUGCAUUUGGGCCAUCAGGGGAUGGUCUCAACAGACGUCUUAGGCAGUCUGAAAGGCCGAACCGCCUAACAAUGGAUGAGAGUGCUGCUAGUAUCCACCAUGUUUCUCCUGUUGGUGGUUCAAAUUCCUCAGAUGAUAAUGAUGAUAGUGAUGAUGACAAUGGUGAUGGUGGGUUAUCACUUGUAAGCCGCCUUCGCAGUCAUGGCAGAGUGCUUCUGGGACAUUCAGGUAGGAGGCGUAGGCAUAGAGAAGACAGUGGAGGUGAGAGAUGAUUUGGAAUGGUACUUGGGGGGGAUAAGCAUUCAGUAGGUACAUAGUUUUAGGAAGGUCUGAAUUUCUGGGAUAAAAGAAACACAGGAAUUUACUUCAAAUUUCAUGUAUUUAUUUGGUAUUUAUAUUGCACUGUAUCUGUGAUUGGUAGGGAAAAUUGAUGCGGAAAGGGUGGCUGACCUCCUCAUUCCUUGUUAUAUUAUUAUCAUAAAUAUAGUGUCCUAGUUGGCUUCUGUCCUCCUAGUCUAACAAUCAUUUUAUUUUCUAUC